rnacentral:rRNA from 1 species
AGCGUAGACGGCUGUGUAAGUCUGAAGUGAAAACCCGGGGCUCAACCCCGGGACUGCUUUGGAAACUAUGCAGCUAGAGUGUCGGAGAGGUAAGUGGAAUUCCCAGUGUAGCGGUGAAAUGCGUAGAUAUUGGGAGGAACACCAGUGGCGAAGGCGGCUUACUGGACGAUGACUGACGUUGAGGCUCGAAAGCGUGGGGAGCAAACA